CCCGGGAGGCGGGGAGGUGCGAGCGCGCGGCCGCGGCCGGAGCGGCGGUCUCCACGCCCACCUGGCCUUGCGGGCGGCCUGGCCCAGGUUCCCGUUAGCGCUGCUUGAGCGGGUCGUGCUGACCUACAUACUCACACAGGGCCCCCCGGACCCCCGCAGGCUGAGCAAAUGGCGACCAGUGGCAGCAAUGAUGGACGGGGCUGCCACCUGGCUCCCAGGCACUGAGAGAGCUGGGCGGAUGGCCCGGCCCCAAUUGAUCGCCCAUAGGCAGGAUGAUGGAGCAGCAGGGAGAGAAGUGCACUUGAGUAGCUGAAAGAAGUCCAGAGUGGGUGGUGCAGAAAGCAGGAGGUGAAGCUGUGGAGCAAGAUGUGUUUGACUAAGGUAAGCAGGGCUCAGGCCAUAUGGGGCCUAAUGGGCCAUGCCAUUUUUUUGUUUAGUUUUUUGCUUUGUUUUGUUUUGUUUUUAUCCUAGGAGGAAUGCAAAGCCAUUGACUUUUAAGCAAUAACUGAUCAAACCAGGAAAUUCACAAUCAAGUGGAGACAUAUGUUACCUGACACAAUGUGCAGCAGUCAGGACCCAACAGCCACCAAUAUAAAUUCCUCCACAGCUGAAUUUAUCAUCUUCCCUAAUUGCCACCUGCCAUGGGAAGUCUCCCUGUAAAGACAAGUGUGUGGUCACUGCCAUUCUACAAACAGGCGGCUCUAAGAAAUUUCCAUCGCAAGACUGCCAUUCCCCCCACUCCCACCCCCCAAACUCAGGCUGUUCCUGGGAAGGAAGGAACAUUAGGACUUCCAUGCAGGUUUACCGGCUGUGCUGGUAUUCCUCCUACGACUCGUUUCCUUCGAGUGGGUCCACUGCGUUUGACUCCACAGGAUAAUUUAGGGAGGAAUGACUUUAUCUGUUUUCUUUCUUCAAGAAAAGAAGAGAUUAUAUCAUGAUUUUGGACCCAUUACCUUGUGGGCAGACAUUUCUGGAUUAUCUAUGCCACAAAAAAAGCAGAGUCACAGCUAAUAUGAAAGAGGCCAGAUUCAUUAGCAAAUUAUUUGGGAUGCUAAACUGUACUAUUCAUCUUGUUUAAAAAUUCUGGCUUAAUAUUAAAAUUGGAUCAAUUCUCUCAGAAAUCUUCCUCAAGGUGAACUAGUGGCAGAGAGAGGCUGACCAAAGGGCUAAAUAUUUAUCAACCUCUGGCCAAUGAGAGAUGCCACAUACCCAGGCAUUACUCCUGGGUCAGCUCAGGGUAGUCUCAGAGAAAACCCUUUUCUUCUCACUUUCAUAGUUUUUACUUUUUUUAAAAUAUGUUUUUAUUGAUUUUAGAGAGAGAAGAAAGGAGAGGGAGAGAGAGAAACGUCAAUGUGCCCUAAUGGGGAUCAAAUUGGCGACCUUUUGGUGCAUGGGACAAUGCUCAACGAACUGAGCCACACUGGCCAGGGCAUUGUUUUUACUUUUUAGAGGCUGUUUAUAUGGAAAUAUUUUCAAUACUUUCUGUGUGUCAGACCCCAUGCUAAGCACUUUGUAUGAGGUUAACUCAUUUAAUCAUCAUAUUAACCCUGAGAGAUAAUGUGCUGAGAACCCUAGACAACUCCCGGUCAGUUGGCCACGAGAGGGGGUAAGUGUAUAGCCACUUGACACGCAGUGGUGUUUCCUUCCUCUGUGAGCAUUCAGAUGUGGCACAUUUGUUACUGGGAAGAAACCACGGUAGAGCCAGGCUGAAGAUGUGAAUUUGCAAGAGAAUUCAUGACAAAGGAAGAAAGUAACUGUGUAAGAUGCUCUCCGUAUUCUCUCUCUCUAUUUCACCAUGACAUGAACAUUUUUUGCAGAUGUGCUUCUUAGCUCCAAAUUAGAAAGGAAAAUUAAUAUCACUGUCAAUUGCUUUCAGCAUAUAAGGAGGUAGGUCCUCAAGGGAGAGAUAUUGUGAACAACUUCCCACUCCUCCUAAGGUGGGGGAAGAGUGUCAUAGCCAGUUUUAAAUGUCAGCUUGGGCUUUGGGAAAAAGAGAGACCUCAUUCAUUGUCUGUGGAACCAGCUUGGGUAGUAUCAGAAAAUUAGUGUUAUCUUGAGUAGAAAAUAAAGGGCCUUUGUUGAAAAUCCCUUCUGAGUAGCUGUAGCUUUGAGAUCUAAAUUCUUGAUUUAUUGCCUGAUUUGUUUCAAUGUUCAUUAAUUUUGUAGCGUGGCAAUUAGAAGGGAGUCUUGUGUGAACUUCAGUUUAAUAUAUCCCUAAAAUAGGGAGCUAUUUUAUUCCCAAUUUGUAUUUGAGGUUAAGUGACUCAUCUAAGGUUAUAUAGCUAAUAAAUAACUGAGUCAGGAUUUAAUACAAGUCACUCUGACCUGAAAGCUCUUAUGAAUUUUCCAGGAACUUAAUACUUAAAUUUAAUUUGGCUUAUAGUGCACAACUGGCCAGAGCACAGAUCUUCACAGACCUUCUAGUAUCAUGGUUUAAAACAUUGAAAAAGAAUAGCUUGUUCAAUCAAAUCCAUUAUUUUUCUAUUUCAAAAUGUCCUAGGUCAUACUUGAAAUUUUGUUGUUUUCAACAAAACUGACCUGACAAAGCUCAAAACAAAUAGAAAAACUUUAUGUAAGACCAUAGUAUUGUUUCACUUCAAAAUUAGUCAUAUGUAUUAAUCAAUUUUUAAAGCAGUUCUCAAGAAGUAUUUAUUAAAGAAAGGAGAGAAGUAAUGUUAUUUUUUCUACUUAAAUUUAUACCAAAGGUAAUUGUUGCUUAGUUAGUUAUAGUAUAUAUAUAUAUACACACACUCAUAUAUAUAUAUACACACUUGACAUUAAAAUUAAACCAGUGCACCAAUAGAAAAAAUAGUAAUGUUAACUUACCUGCAUCCAUAUUAGCAGUCAAAGUUUCUGUUUCUUCUAUAAUAAAACAAAUUUUCAAUGCUUAAAAUUAUGUUAAUAGUAAAACUCAAAUCAUUACAAUCAUUAAACUUGGAUAAUAAUUUUCUGUCUUAAAACUUGUCCUCCCUUUAAAAAGGACAGUACAAAAUCCCCAAAGCACAUCAUCUCAUUUCCUUUUUUUGGCUACAUAAUUCUGAAGGCUCAAAAUGAACUGUGUAGAAUUUGGCAGGCAUAAACUUGAGGUGUCUGUUGAUAUAAGUGAAUGGUGAAGCUCAUGGUGCUGCAGUUUCCUGCAUUUAGAGCAAGCAAAACGCCCGGAUCAGAGAAGGAAAGCUUCUCAUUCAACUCUGCACUCAUAAGGUCCUUACCUAGGUAGGGAGCUGUCACUGCCACUGAGCAAAAGAGUCAUUGAAAAGGCUCCUCUCCUUUUGUACAUAAUAAGGCACUUCUUUCAGUGGUCAUGCAAACAAUGAUAUUUCAUUGGUUUCAGUGUCAGGCAUGGUUAGUAUCAGACAUUGGGAUGCAGAAGUCAAAAGCAAAAAAUAAAACAGAGAGAAACCAAGAUGGUGGCAUAGGUAAUCACCUAUACUUGCUGCCUCUCACAACCACAUCAAAAUUACAACUAAA